ACAAGUACCGUGAGGGAAAGUUGCAAAGAACUUUGAAGAGAGAGUUCAAGAGGGCGUGAAACCGCUUAGAAGCAAACAGGUGGAGCUGACAUUAACUCUACUGGAUUCAGCCUGUCAGAAGGUGGACUGCGUGUGUCUGAUCGCAAGACAGACAUAUCGUGCGUUCCAUCGGUGUCGGGUGCACUUUCAGUAGAUUUGCGUCACGACCGAUGACUACGCUGGCGAAGGCCGGCCGAUUGCCGACUGCGAGCUCACGCUUGCAGAGCCCCAUCAGCCGAGUCAGUCCGGGUUGUGGUCAUCGGGAACCGAACGCGCUCGCUUGCCUCAUGCAGUAUGGCAUAGGGUCGCUUGAAUGUCUGCAUUGUGCUUGCACGAUGCGGUAACCCUCGAAUCUAUUGCUGUGCUACCUUGAGUUAGCGCUUAUGGUCUGUGGCGUCCGCGUCAGCCUCCCACCUGACCCGUCUUGAAACACGGACCAAGGAGUCUAACAUGUGCGCAAGUCAUGGGGUUGUAAACCCAAAGGCGUAAUGAAAGUAAAGGUCAAUUCGGUUGACCGAGGUGAGAUCCCCGCAAGGGGCGCAUCACUGUCCCAUCGCAUCUGCUUGUCAGAGCGGUGGAGAAAUAGCGUACACGUUGGGACCCGAAAGAUGGUGAACUAUGCCUGAGCAGGAUGAAGUCAUCGGAAACGGUGAUGGAGGUCCGUAGCGGUUCUGACGUGCAAAUCGAUCGUCAGACUUGGGUAUAGGGGCGAAAGACUAAUCGAACCAUCUAGUAGCUGGUUCCUUCCGA
rnacentral:rRNA from 2 species